UUACAGGGAUAUCAGGAGCAAGCCUGGCUUCUCUUAAACCCCGAUUGAAGCCAGUCGCGAACAUGCGGAAGCCUUUUUGCCAAACAGCAGUCUUCAUCUUAUCAGAGGCUUUAUACUCCGCAAGUUGUGACUCACAGGCCUCAGCUAUAAUUGCCUUCAGCUCAAGAGAAUCCUUAUAAUCUUGGAGGUGAGCUUCACAGGCCUGCUCAAUCUUCCUUUUUAGCUCAUCCGACUCCUGAUACUCCGUCAGACGCCUCUCACACUCCAGCUGGAUCUUGUUCUCAGCAUGUCUGGUCUCCUCGAAUAGGGCUGAA
rnacentral:lncRNA from 1 species